rnacentral:rRNA from 1 species
ACGUAGGGCGCGAGCGUUGUCCGGAUUUAUUGGGCGUAAAGAGCUCGUAGGCGGCUUGUCGCGUCGACUGUGAAAACCCGCGGCUCAACCGCGGGCCUGCAGCCGAUACGGGCAGGCUAGAGUUCGGUAGGGGAGACUGGAAUUCCUGGUGUAGCGGUGAAAUGCGCAGAUAUCAGGAGGAACACCGAUGGCGAAGGCAGGUCUCUGGGCCGAUACUGACGCUGAGGAGCGAAAGCGUGGGGAGCGAACAGGAUUAGAUACCCUGGUAGUCCACGCUGUAAACGUUGGGCGCUAGGUGUGGGGGACCUCUCCGGUUCUCUGUGCCGCAGCUAACGCAUUAAGCGCCCCGCCUGGGGAGUACGGCCGCAAGGCUA